rnacentral:rRNA from 1 species
AGCGGCGAGCGAAAGGGAAAGAGCCCAAACCGGAAACUUGUUUCCGGGGUUGUGGACAUAACAUAAAAGUGGAGGCUAUUGUAACUGAAGAGAACUGGAAAGUUCCACCGUAGAAGGUAAUAGUCCUGUAAGUGAAACGAGAAGACCACGAGUUAUGAUCCAGAGUACCACGAGACACGUGAAACCUUGUGGGAAGCAGGGAGGACCACCUCCCAAGGCUAAAUACUACCUGAUGACCGAUAGUGAAGCAGUACCGUGAGGGAAAGGUGAAAAGAACCCCGGGAGGGGAGUGAAAUAGAACCUGAAACCGUGUGCCUACAACCGCUCAGAGCCCCUUAUGAGGGUGAUGAGGUGCUUUUUGUAGAACGAGCCAACGAGUUACGGUAUGUAGCAAGGUUAAGUACUUAAGGUACGGAGCCGAAGGGAAACCGAGUCUGAAUAGGGCGACUAGUUGCAUGCCGUAGACCCGAAACCGGGUGACCUAUCCAUGGCCAGGUUGAAGCGAGGGUAAAACCUCGUGGAGGACCGAACCACGUUGCUGUUGAAAAAGCAUGGGAUGAGCUGUGGAUAGCGGAGAAAUUCCAAUCGAACCCGGAGAUAGCUGGUUCUCUCCGAAAUAGCUUUAGGGCUAGCGUCGAGUAUGAGUAGUGGAGGUAGAGCACUGAAUGGGCUAGGGGGCAUAGCGCUUACCGAACCUUAUCAAACUCCGAAUGCCACAUACUUUGAGCUCGGCAGUCAGACUACGAAUGAUAAGAUCCGUGGUCAAAAGGGAAACAGCCCAGAUCGUCAGCUAAGGUCCCAAAGUGUAAGUUAAGUGGGAAAGGAUGUGAGAUUUCUAAGACAACUAGGAUGUUGGCUUAGAAGCAGCCAUUCAUUAAAAGAGUGCGUAAUAGCUCACUAGUCGAGAGAUCUUGCGCCGAAAAUGUAACGGGGCUAAACUUACCACCGAAGCUACGGGCUUGAACUUAGUUCAAGCGGUAGGAGAGCGUCGUAACCGGGCUGAAGUCGUACCGUAAGGAGCGGUGGACUGGUUACGAGUGAGAAUGUUGGCAUCAGUAGCGAGAUGUGGGUGAGAAUCCCACAGGCCGAAAACCUAAGGUUUCCUCAGGAAGGUUCGUCCGCUGAGGGUUAGUCGGGACCUAAGCCGAGGCCGAAAGGCGUAGGUGAUGGACAACUGGUUGAUAUUCCAGUACCACUACCAUCGUUAUUAUCGAUGGCGUGACGCAGGAGGAUAGUGUGUGCUAGCUAUUGGAUGCUAGUCUAAGCGUUUAGGCAGUGAGAGUAGGCAAAUCCGCUCUCAUAAUGCUGAGGCGUGAUGGGGAAGGUUCUACGGAACCGAAGUACAUGAUUCCACGCUGCCAAGAAAAGCGUCUAGAGAGAGAAGUAGUGCCCGUACCGCAAACCGACACAGGUAGGUGAGGAGAGAAUCCUAAGGCCGGCGGAAGAAUUACAGUUAAGGAACUCGGCAAAUUGACCCCGUAAGUUCGCGAGAAGGGGUGCCUACGAGAGUAGGCCGCAGAGAAUAGGCCCAAGCAACUGUUUAGCAAAAACACAGGUCUCUGCUAAAGCGUAAGCUGAUGUAUAGGGGCUGACGCCUGCCCGGUGCUGGAAGGUUAAGGGGAACACUUAGCGCAAGCGAAGGUGUGAACUUAAGCCCCAGUAAACGGCGGCCGUAACUAUAACGGUCCUAAGGUAGCGAAAUUCCUUGUCAGGUAAGUUCUGACCCGCACGAAUGGCGUAAUGACUUGGGCACUGUCUCAACUGUAAAUCCGGCGAAGUUGUAGUGCGAGUGAAGAUGCUCGCUACCCGCGAUUGGACGGAAAGACCCCGUAGAGCUUUACUGUAGCUUAGCAUUGAGUUUUGGUAUUGUCUGUACAGGAUAGGUGGGAGACUAGGAAACCAGGGCGUCAGCCUUGGUGGAGUCAACCUUGGGAUACCACCCUGACAGUACUGAAAUUCUAACUGGCGGCCAUGAAUCUGGUCACAGGACAUUGUUAGGUGGGCAGUUUGACUGGGGCGGUCGCCUCCUAAAAAGUAACGGAGGCGCCCAAAGGUUCCCUCAGAACGGUCGGAAAUCGUUCGAAGAGUGCAAAGGCAGAAGGGAGCCUGACUGCGACACCCACAAGUGGAGCAGGGACGAAAGUCGGGCUUAGUGAUCCGGUGGUACCUCGUGGGAGGGCCAUCGCUCAACGGAUAAAAGCUACCUCGGGGAUAACAGGCUGAUCUCCCCCAAGAGUCCACAUCGACGGGGAGGUUUGGCACCUCGAUGUCGGCUCGUCGCAUCCUGGGGCUGAAGUAGGUCCCAAGGGUUGGGCUGUUCGCCCAUUAAAGCGGCACGCGAGCUGGGUUCAGAACGUCGUGAGACAGUUCGGUCCCUAUCCGUCGCGGGCGUAGGAAAUUUGAGAGGAGCUGUCCUUAGUACGAGAGGACCGGGAUGGACUGACCUCUGGUGUACCAGUUGUUCCGCCAGGAGCACAGCUGGGUAGCUAAGUCGGGAAUGGAUAAACGCUGAAAGCAUCUAAGCGUGAAGCCAACCU